AUUGAACGCUGGCGGCAGGCCUAACACAUGCAAGUCGAACGAGUGGCGGACGGGUGAGUAAUGUCUGGGAAACUGCCCGAUGGAGGGGGAUAACUACUGGAAACGGUAGCUAAUAACGCAUACCAUCGGAUGUGCCAAGAUGGGAUUAGCUAGUAGGUGGGGUAACGGCUCACCUAGGCGAAGUUCCCUAGCUGGUCUGAGAGGAUGACCGGCCACACUGGAACUGAGACACGGUCCAGACCCCUAGGGGGGGCAGCAGUGGGGAAUAUUGCCCAAUGGGCGCAAGCCUGAUGCAGCCAGGCCGCGUGUAUGAAGAGGGCCUUCGGGUUGUAAAGUACUUUCAGCGAGGAGGCGUUCCUCGCAGAAGAAGCAUCGGCUAACUCCGUGCCAGCAGCCGCGGUAAUU
rnacentral:rRNA from 1 species